rnacentral:rRNA from 1 species
AACUAUAACGGUCCUAAGGUAGCGAAAUUCCUUGUCAGGUAAGUUCUGACCCGCACGAAAGGCGUAACGAUUUGGGCGCUGUCUCAGCUGUAGACUCGGUGAAGUCUUAGUACCUGUGAAGAUGCAGGUUACCCGCGACUAGACGGAAAGACCCCAUGGAGCUUCACUGCAGGUUGAUAUUGGGAUUUGAUGCAGCAUGUACAGGAUAGGUAGGAGGCAAAGAGAUGGAUACGCCAGUAUUCAAGGAGCCGCUGUUGGGAUACUACCCCUGUUGUAUUGGAUUUCUAACCGGACGACGUAGAACCGUUGACGGGACAGUGUCAGUCGGGCAGUUUGACUGGGGCGGUCGCCUCCCAAAGAGUAACGGAGGCGCCCAAAGAUACCCUCAGCUUGGAUGGAAACCAAGCGCAGAGUGCAAAGGCAAAAGGGUGUUUGACUGCGAGACCCACAAGUCGAGCAGGGACGAAAGUCGGGCUUAGUGAUCCGGCGGUGCUGAAUGGAAAGGCCGUCGCUCAACGGAUAAAAGCUACCCUGGGGAUAACAGGCUGAUCUCCCCCAAGAGUCCACAUCGACGGGGAGGUUUGGCACCUCGAUGUCGGCUCAUCGCAUCCUGGGGCUGUAUUCGGUCCCAAGGGUUUGGCUGUUCGCCAAUUAAAGCGGUACGCGAGCUGGGUUCAGAACGUCGUGAGACAGUUCGGUCCCUAUCUGUCGUGGGCGCAGGAAAUUUGAGAAGAGCUGUCCUCAGUACGAGAGGACCGGGAUGGACGCAUCAAUGGUGGACCAGUUGUCACGCCAGUGGCAUAGCUGGGUAGCUAAAUGCGGAAGGGAUAAACGCUGAAGGCAUCUAAGUGUGAAACCCACUUCAAGAUGAGAUUUCCCAUUGCGCAAGCAAGUAAGACCCCUUAAAGACGAUAAGGUAGAUAGGUCAGGAGUGUAAGCAUGGUGACAUGUUAAGCGGACUGAUACUAAUAGGUCGAGGGCUUGACCGA